GUGCUUGCUUUGGCAGCACAUAUACUAAAAUUCAAAUGAUAUAGUGAUAGCAGGAUCUCCUGCACAGGAUGACAUGUAAAUUCAAGACACUGCUGUAGGUUUUU